rnacentral:rRNA from 1 species
GUGCCAGCAGCCGCGGUAAGACGAACCGUCCAAACGUUAUUCGGAAUCACUGGGCUUAAAGGGUGCGUAGGCGGCGCGGCAAGUUGGGUGUGAAAUACCUCGGCUCAACCGAGGAACUGCGCCCAAAACUGCCGUGCUCGAGGAAGAUAGAGGUGAGCGGAACUUAGGGUGGAGCGGUGAAAUGCGUUGAUAUCCUAAGGAACACCGGUGGCGAAAGCGGCUCACUGGAUCUUUUCUGACGCUGAGGCACGAAAGCUAGGGUAGCGAACGGGAUUAGAAACCCUGGUAGUCC